AGCAAAAUGUCUCUUUGGAUAGUAAAAGUUGCCGACCCCUGGUCUAGGGAGAAGGGUAUGUGAGUCCAGCGGUUUAAGGGAUCUUCGGUGGAUUUACGGAUGGGGGUAAAGUUAAGGUGGAACAGCUCUGGAAGAUUGGAGGAAAUGUCAAUGCCCAGAUAUUGAAUGUUACCAGUUGGGAUGUUGAAAGGUAAUUUUGGUCUCGUAGCCUUCCUCCAUUAGUUUAAACACUGCAGCUAGUGAUGCUGAUGUUUUUUGAGGAUUGUCUACCUUUGAUGAGACCAUUUUGGUCAGAGUGAAUUAAUACAUGGAUGACUUUCUCCAAUCUGAUACAGUACUUCACUCAUCAUUUUGAUGCCUCGGUUGACGAGUGGUAUGAGGCGGUGGCUUGAGCAGGGAGUGGGAUCCUUGUUAGCUUUGAGAACAGCUGAGGUGAGUGCAAUUCAUAUCUGGAGGGAUGUUGGAGGAUUUGUAAAUUUCAUUAUCUUAAUGAAUUGUGGCGAUAUUGUGGUCCCAAAGAGCUUGUAAAGUUCAGAGGGGAAACCAUCUGAUCCAAGUGCUUUCUCACUGUCAUUUUGCAUAAUGGAUCUGUCCAAGGUGUUUGAGAUUCUGGUAACUUGGAAAGACCUAUAUUAUCAUAGAAUGUGGUUAUUGUUGUUAGAUUACACAUGCAAAUGUAGAAGUUGCUAAAGGAAGUUUGAAAUAUUGUUUAUAUAUAAAUUAGGGUGUAAAUAGUAUUCGCUUCUGAGUAUUCAAUAGCUUGUGUAAUAGUUAAUAGAGUUAAUAGAGCUGAAUUGUUAGAUAUUUUUCUAAUUUGUUACUGUGUUUAAAGUAGUUACACUGUAAAACAGCACAGCCCUGUUUAGUUAUGUCCACUUACUUCUUCUCUUUAACUCAAAGAGCUCUGACACAUUUUACAUUUUUAACUCUACUGUUCAAGUUCUUGAAUGUUAAACUUACAGUAAUUCAUUGUGUUGACUUUUUGAGAUUUGUAAGUUUUGAUUGAACUUGUUUUUUGAAGUUAUCAGUUAAAAAAAACAAUGGAGACAAAAGGCGGGAGGGGGGGAUGAAAUAACAUAUUUGCUGCAAUGUUUGAGUUUUAAGGAAACUGUCUUUUUUAAACCAUGGCCAGGUUGAAGUUUAGACAUAAUCUACUGGUUAAACACUGCAGACAAUUCAUAUAGUGAAAUUCCAAUGAAAAUAUAGGCAUUUUAUGGUAAACAAGAAGGACUAUUGCCACCUGCGGAGGGAGACUAUGUACCUGACAACUGCCAAUGAAUUGAGGCGGAGGAACAUAACGUUACUUUCUGCCUGCAACAAGAAGAGCGGACAGAACAGAGCGCAGUGAGGAUUUUUUUCGCUGGGCUUCAGCACACAGAGGUGAGUUUAAAUUAUGACUUUGAGUAUUUUUCUUAAUUAAUAUCAUGUGUAACGUUAGUAAUGUAACACAGUUAUGUAGGUCGGGUUUUUUAAAGGCUAAAUGUGUGGCCUUGAUGUUUAGCUGGCUUAACAGUUUCCCCGGUCUGUUUUGCCCGCGAACUUUUUAAAAGACAAAUGGUGGACCUAUUUCGUCUGUUGUGCUUUUAAUAAAACGUAUUUAAUGUAGAAGUAUAAACUAUUGGUUAAUUCUUAAUGUGACCGCAAUAUUAUUUUUUAUUCAACAUUAGUCAGCAAGUUUGCUAGCCUCCACUAACGUUACUCUGUCUUAAAGUAGCUCAUGCCAGCUGGAUUCACAUUGAAUGGCUGAGUCACUGCCUAUGCUUUGCUCCUCUUUAUAUUUUAAUGCCAGUAACGUUACUUAUAUUAAUGCGGAGCAUGCCGCUUAUUAGGAACGCAACUGCAUUCAGAGCAAAGACUGUAUAGCGGACAUUUUGACCCCCCUCCCCUCUCCUCUCUCCCUGCUGUGUGUGCGCGCGUGCAUGUUUGUACGAGAGUAGGCUGAACUCUACACACAGCGGACAGCAGAGUAGAAACGGCACAGAGAUGAAGAGACGGACUUUUAGUGAUAGUUUACUCCUGUCUUAGAGUAAAAACAUUCAUUUAAAAUGACAACAAAUCCUCCAGUAGAGACGAUAUGAAUUAUUCAGACACGUGUCUUUGACCGCUCCCUCUGCAGUCAACUCGCUUCAUCACUGGUAUGUUUUACACAGACAAACGGAGCUGGCAAAUGGUUGAAUUAACUACGUCGAACGUCAAUUGUAGGUUAAAAGCAAAUAGUUGAGCCUUGUUCAGUGAAGGGUCUCCAAACAGUUGACAUUUUGUUACAACCAGCCCCUCCUAUUACCAGCAGUGUGUGUCUCCACAUCAGCAGACAGGAUCAGUGAGGCCAUAGUGCUGUUAGCCAGUUUAAUGUUAACUGUUGAAUAGUACAACUGUAUGUAGUUUGUUUUUCUAAUGUUUAGACUUGACAUACUUAAUGAGAUAUAUUAUGCAGGUUAGGGCCUGGCACUAAAUAUUCUACAAACAAGUUGAUACUAACAAUUAUACAAUAAAUUAUAUAUGUAUUAUUCUAGUAAUCUUUGACAGGUUGGAGGGUUUCAGAGACUUACUUUACUCAUUCCUGAGACUUGCGCUGUUGAAUUGGAUUAUAUUGAGAGGCGGUUCUCGUACUCUCUACAAGUAAAUGUAAUACAUUUCAACAUCACAAUCUAUUGUCUCACUUAUAACAAAACAAAUCUAAAACUGAAUAUUUUAACCAUCAUCAAGUUUGAAACUCUUGCAGGGCUAUCAUUAUACUGCACACAAUUUAGCUAACUCAAUAAACUGAAUAAGUGUAUUUGAAAAUUAGAUGUAUCAAUCGGUUUAUCCUUUUUUUCUAAUCUAGAGGUUGUUUGCUUCAAAAUCACUUGAUCCCUGUUUUUGUUUUAAGUAUUUUGAAAUUGUAAAGAUUGAUAAUUUAAUCAUAAAGGAAAUAAAUGUUAUAUUUGUGUUGAAUACAUAUAUUUGCUUUUUUCACUAAACAUGCAAUUCAUUUAAUUUUUUUCUGUUUCCAGAUAUCAUCAAGAAUGUCCAGUUCAUUCUCCUCCAAUGGACAAGGAAAAAUAAUCCAGCAUUAUAAACAGCAUCAUGGACAUCAUCGUAGGUGUUUAGGCCUUGUCUGUAUUUAUGAUGAAUGUUUGAAGACAUUUCAAACCCAAGCUGAACUUAAAAGACAUUUUAAAGAACAUCUGAAAGAAGGUCAUACAAUUGUGAAUAGUUCAGUAGGAUUGUCACUAAAGACCUGCUGGAGUCAUUCCUGGAUGGACUAGAUGCCUUGGUGCCAAGUCUUCUAGAGCUGUACAAAGCAGGUGUUUCAUCGAGCAGGAGAUUGCGUCUGAGCGGUGUGCUGCAGUGUCUGCAAAAGGAGGACACAAACCAAAACAGAAGAACAGCCGCCCUGCUUGGUCUUCCAUGCUAUCUUUCAGAGGAUUCCACCGACAUAAUCCGGAUGUGUGACGCUCAUGGAGAAAACCUUGAUGUGAUCAUGAAAGGAAUGCAGGUUGGACUGUUGAUUGGACACGAAGGCACUCUGCAAGAUGCAUUUCCUUUGGAAGUCUUCAAUGUGGCUGUGGUAGCAGAGGAGAAGAUCAUCCUACAUAAGCUCGGAGACAUCCCCACAGGCUUUGCCAUGUUAAUGGCAACAAUCUACUGCCUUAACCUGGAGUACCCCCGGAAUAUGAAGUUCACCUGUGAGUUCCUUCAGAGGGUCAUUAUGAACAUUAAACCGGACGAAUGCUCAGCAAGAGUCCAUGGGCUCAGAAACAAACUGCUCAGAUAUCGCAAGUAAACAAAUCUGAAGUCACAUCUGAAGUCCCUGUUUGGAGGAGGCUGUUAUUCUGGACUCUAACUUUGUUGUUCAUACAAACACUGUUCUUGGUUUAACAGGAGUUGCAUAUUGGGUAUAGACAAAGCAAGUCAAGUUUUGUUGAAAAAUGUAAAAGUGAAAAACCUUACAGACUGCUCUGAACUGUAGGUUGGUUGUUUAAACAUAAAAAAAAACUUUGCGAUGCACUAACUUUUAUAACGAAAACACAAAACAAAACUUAAGAAUUGUGUUUUAUAAAGUUCCCAGUAUCCCACAUUUUACCUCUGCAUGUCUUCUCUCAUUCCCCCUUUCUCAAAGUAUGCGAUUAAGUCAUCCCCUUUUUCAGUGUUUACAAUGUUCUUGUUCAUAAUUGAGAUUUUAUGAAACUAUAUUCAUUAUCUCACAUUUUGCCUCGUAGUAACUUACCUCAACACUUCUAGUUGUCAACAUAAGUUAUAUGUUAAUAUUAUGUGUUGAACAUGACUGUAUUGAUGUUGUGGCCUGUUUAAGGUACUAGUAUGCAACAUUUUUGUGGAUGAUUUUAUGAACCUCUUUUAAUUAUCUCACAGUUGUAUAGUGACAAAUGUGAGGUAGUUAAAAGAGGUCCAUAAAAUGUCCACAACCCCACCAUCUGUCUGUCUGUCCACAACCCCACCUUCUCUCAGAUUGCCUCCACUUGUAUGUGGUAACAUUGUUUUAAACAGCUAUUUAAGUGUCGGCAUGUUUGAGAUGUACUUAAACACAAUGUUCAAGCUUGUGUAUCUUUUCAUCAAAUAAAUGCUAUAUUUUUAAAUCAGAAGUAAGAAUUAUGGGUGAUUCAAUUUUUUGAUAAAGCAAACUUGCAGUUAUCAGUCAAGUUAACUUUUAUAUGUAAGUUGAAACCAAUUUGGAAUUUAAAUCCUCUUAACUUGAAAUGGCAAGUUGUAUACACAUGGUUAAGUUAUUUUAACUUGAAACUGAGCUACAAUAAUGCAGAAAUGCGUGUUGGUUUCACUAGGUAAGGAAAGUUUUCUUGACCUGAUAAUGUAAAACAAUUCUUUGUUUUAACUCGCUGUAUCAAGUUCAAACAAGUGAAGAAAAGUUCAAUCAACUCUGACAACUUGAACAGUAAUGUUGAGACAACAUUGCAGUUAAAUCAACUUGAUGAACUUUAAUUUCUGAGUUGAAUCAAAAGCAUUCUUCAAGUUAAGUUAACUCACAUUUUCAAGGCAGCAGGUGAACUUUCAUUUGCAAGUUUAACUGACUUGAAAUGUCUUACAGUGUACUUUUUAGCUUUUAUAUGACACACUGGGUCUUCUUAUUUAUGAUGUUAUUAAGAUUUGUUUCGAUUAGUUCUUUAUUUGUACAUCCUCAGAUUGAUGUGGAGCUACACCACUCAGUUUGUCCAGUUGUUGCUCUUCCUGUUCUUUGUUGGAGUAUGAGAUCAUCCUCUCAUCCCUGCCUUGGCUCUUUCAAAAACUAUAGACUCGGUAAGGUUGUUGGAGAGUCACUUAGUUCAAAGAAAGAUAUCCACUCUCUAUUCAAGUAAGAAUCUAUACGCAAUGAUGUCUUGAGACUCCAUCUUGUGCAUGCUUUAAGGGUGGUUUCAUUAAUAAAGGUAAACUUUACUGGAACGAAUACUCUAAAUAAUAAUGUGAUGCAUUUCUACGUGUUAGUCUGAUAUGAGCAAGUUGAUUGUGAGGAAGUAAUCUAUCCGGGAGAAAGAGUUCUGAUAGGGUGAGUAGUAGGUAUAGUUGAGUUUUUUUACUCACCAAACAUCACCAAGACCAAUGUCAGUCAUACAGUGUUCAACGGUUUCAGAUGGUUACCACAGUCUGUGGAAUGUAGUGAUGUUUGAACGGUACAGUUUUCUAUAAUUAGUAUUUUUUUUUUCUUUAGUUGUGAAAAGAAAUGAUGAGAACAUGCAGCGAUGUCAUCAUUUGGACUGUAUACUAUAGCUAUUUAACACUUAACUGCCCCAAUGGAACCACUGAUUGUUAUGUAUCCUCCUUCAGGAUCUGCUUUGAUGAACUUAUUGUUAUGGUAUUUAUUUGUCACUCAGCACUGCAACGCUUCUUUUCUUUGAAUUUCAAAAUAUGCAAGAUAUAUUAAUUACAUUAGUAUUUAUUUAAGGAACACAGACAGAACAUGGAAGACUGAUCAUAAUAACACUAUUUUGGGCGCAACUAAAUUGGCGUUAACUGGCGUCACCACGGUUUUGUAAAAAUAUGAUUUUGUUCUCGUAAAUUCAGUUUACUAGAAAAAACAAGUGGUUCUUGGAAUAUUCCCUCCCUCCCAUGAUUGUAUAACUGUUUCUGAUAUACCUAUACCAGACACAGUCAUAGUCUUCUCACCACUAUGCACCCCCCACCCCACAUCUGUCUCAGAUUUCUUCAUACAGUAUAUAACUAUACUUGAGGGAAGCAUAUUUAGGACCUCUGAAGACAGGCAGCAAAGGACUUGACUCAUCAAACAGUGUCAGCGCUCUCGGUAAAUGUCAGCAUCCCAAGUGUCUCCGUCAGCAGUGAAGGAGAGACGGGACGAGCGGAAGGGGGGAGGGCUGAAAGAUGUGUGUGUUGUCUGUCUGUGUAUAUCUCUACAUGAACAAAUACAUGAAGUGUCUGCACAUGCACGUGUGAUAUGUCUCAUAUGGGGUAACGUGACUGCAUGUGGCCAUGGUAAACUAUAGGGGCAGUGAGCGAGGUGACGCAUUACACCCCUGUAUCUCAUCGCAGAUCCCUUAUAAUAUUCCCUCACACCCCGUCCAUCGCACUCACAUACACAUGUGCAGGAGAACUCACAGUGUGCCGUACGUUCCUUUACUUUACAUUAGCAACAUACGCACCAAAUGGCCGCGAUUGCAAGGCGCAUUAAUGUGCCGCUCAAUAGGCAUCAGAACGAUGCCUAUUCUCACUGAUCUUUCUCAGUGAGAAAGAGCAGCGAUGCGUUCCUGCGGGAAGCGUUUUUUUAUGUCAUUUAAAGCGCGGCAUUAGAGCACCAUCAUCUAAAAGCUCAUCCGCAGGUUGUGUAAUGCGGGGGAAGGAAGCUUCAAAGGUGGGAAGUUUUGAUGCUACAGUUUGACAUACACUAGGAACAUUACAGCAAGUGAUAUAUAAUAUAAUAUAAGCCGCGCAGCACAUUCUCUCCCGCAGAAGCCUGCACAUUAAAGUAUCACAGCCGUGGUGUAGGAGGGGAAAGAAUUACCGGAGCGCCAUUAAAGCGUAAAGAAGACAUAAAGUUAACAUGCUUUACUGGAUGUUACACUAUGCAGUAUGAAAUCUCUUCUUUGUUUAAAAAGUAUAAAUACGUCAACCAAAGUAAUGCAUUACGGUCGAUACAGUCUGGGUGUGCACGGACAAUUCUUUAUUGUAACUUGUCUCGGUCAUGAUGAAAGUUCAUGAGACAGCUGACUGGAGACAAAAGCGCCGCCACAUUUGUCUUCCAACUGAACCAGCUGUAAUCCCUCUAGGUAAAGAGGAUUAUUCUGGCCUCUAACCUAAUUAUUCAAUUCUACAGUCCCAUGAAUGUAAAUAAAACGCGGCCUCAUCACUAACAGCGUAUAUGUAUAUGUGAUGCGCAGUAGAUGCACUUAGCAAGUUGAAUAAUUGCCAACUGCUGCAUUACUCUGCUUGUAAAUUAGAAUAAAGAAAUCAAUAUACACUGUGUAUGACGCUGGGUAGAAUGAGGAAAUGUGCUUUUUAAGACGAGUCGCAUGUCCAAGGCCUGUUUGUUAUGAUGUGAUUAAAUACAUCACUGUAUGGUGAUAUAUUAUGCAAACCAGGAGAGUGUUGUUGUUUGAUUGUUCAAUUAGAAAGGGUUGUCCUUUAAAUCCAAAAUUGCCUUUUGGUGCUUUUGUAAUACAACAUCCCCAUAAAGUCAUUAAACAGCUGUUCUGUGAAGUCGACCCAGGUCACAUCUGUUAAUGUAAACCUUAAUGAUGCAGAGGGGGCAGAGUCCUUUCAUUCUCUGUUUGUUGGAUAAAUAGGCUUUUGAGGUGAUACCAACCACUUAAAGUUGUUCCUCUCACGCUGUUGGGUUUUUAUUCUAAGUUCCACUUCCAGCUUUAAAACAGAUAAAUAAAUAAAAAUGUAUAUCUUGCCGUGCACUUGGUUAGGUUAAACGCUGCUGUAUGUAAUCAUGGAUUACCACGGGAAUGUCCCUUUUAUAUCCAGCCAUCCAAGUGCCACUUUAUAUUUUGUCUGCAAUAUAAUUUGUCUCUAACUUAAAACUCUUCUUAGAGCAGGAGCACAUCCAACCCGCAGACAGCCUCUCACAGCCAUGUUCCGAUGAGUGAAGCUCAACCGAGAUGGGUCACCUCGAGGCCCUCUCGUUGGCAAAGCGGUGCAUUCAUCCCCGGCAGCCUUUGCAGCUCGUCCACUCCGACGCUCAGUGCUCUCUGGAGCCGACCCCCCAGAACUCAGACCGUGCUCGCCACAGAACCGGGCCUGGUGGCAUCCUUGUAGCUCUGGAUCCGGGGGUGCUGCCAUGGAGGGUUGCAUUUGCUGGAGAUUAUUUGGAGAAAAGACCAAGGCGAUUUAUGUGCCAUGUGGUAUGCUGGCAGACAUUGCUGCCACUCUGACCCAAGGCUCCACAGAUUUGUUUUCCAACUAAAAGCAUAACUCAAACGCCUUUAUUGUUCUGUAACUUGUAAAUUAAGUGGAUUGUUUGUGCUAGAUCUAACACGUACUGGGCCAAAUGGUCGAAGUUGUGAAAUUAGAUUUUGGAUCCAAUAUAGUGAUUUAUAUAAAUGUUGCAUUUUGGCCCGUUGACAUAACGCAAUGUUGCCAAUGUGAGCUAUUGUUUGUAAUUUAUUUAAUCAUCUUUUCAUAAUGACCAUUUGAUUCCACACUGCCACCGUGUUAAUACGCUGUUAUGUAAAAUCUGAAUCCCUCAUUGUUUUGGUUAAGUCGUCCUCUUGAUUGAUUCAAAAGAUUACCCAUGAUGCCUAAAUGAACCUUUGAAGAAUAGUAUGGUGCAUUUUCAAAUCGUUAAAGAUCAGUGUUCUAUUCUGAUACAUUAUAUUUAAGUGAGCACUAAUGUUGAGUUUAAUCACGUGGCCUGUAAUAAAUAGAGCCAAACACUAAGCAGGGGAGGCUGUGCAUCGUGGGCGAUUGGUCAUGUAGGCACAGUGGCUAAGAGGUAAUCUAAAGGGAUAUACAGUAUAUUUAUAUUUUUUUAUCUGUCUUCCUUUGACCCCCCCGCCUUCUUUGCUAUCUUGCUGUUUCAAAUGUAAAUGAGAUUUGUUAUAGUGGCGGCCGCCACUGCCACUGUUCCCGCUGCCUUUUAUACCCGCUUCCAGAGAAAGGAGGCAGCCGCAUUUUUUUCAUCGACUAACACAUUCUCCAUCUCCAACCCUGCUAUUAUACGCACAUUAGAGAACAUCCCAUAAUGAAACCUGUCAGGCAAAUUGACACAGGAAAGAGAAUAUGAAAAACAUUACAUGAUUACAGGGCAAAAACAUAGUUAGGAAAAAAAUAUU